GUUGUACGCUUCCUAGCAACGUUGGGAGCGUAGCGAAAAACUCCGUAACACGUAGUUAAUCUUCCCUUAGGACGGGGAUAACCCCGGGAAACUGGGGCUAAUAACCGAUAGGCGGAAACGCCUGGAAUGGUCUUCCACCUAAAGGGUCUUAGAAACACGCUCAUAAGACUGCCUAAGGAUGAGACUGCGGCCGAUCAGGUUGUUGGUGGGGUAACGGCCUACCAAGCCUAUAACCGGUACGGGCCCUGAGAGGGGGAGCCCGGAGAUGGAAACUGAGAAAAGGUUCCAGGCCCUACGGGGUGCAGCAGGCGCGAAACCUCCACAAUGCGCGAAAGCGUGAUGGGGUUAUCCCGAGUGCCGUCCGAUGAGGAUGGCUUUUAAUCGAUGUAAGGAUUCGAUAGAAUAAAGGGGGGGCAAGACUGGUGUCAGCCGCCGCGGUAAUACCAGCCCCCUGAGUGGUAAGGACGAUUAUUUGGCCUAAAGCGUUCGUAGCCGGCUUAUCAAGUCUUUUGUUAAAUCCAACGAUUCAAUCGUUGGGCCGCAAAAGAUACUGUUAUGCUAGAGGACGGGAGAGGUCGACGGUAUUCUCGGGGUAGGGGUGAAAUCUUAUAAUCCCGAGAGGACCACCAGUGGCGAAGGCUGUCGGCUAGCACGCGCCUGACGGUGAGGGACGAAAGCUGGGGGAGCGAACCGGAUUAGAUACCCGGGUAGUCCCUGCUGUAAACGAUGCGAG
rnacentral:rRNA from 1 species